UGACAGUCGUGCUGAACCCGUUGGGCUGGGUGAGGGAUCCGUCCCAUAAAGGAAGCCCACGACCUUGAGUGCCCAAGCGGUGAGCACGGAUGUCAAGGACGGGAUACCUUGGAGGGCGUUCGUUCAUAGGGUCGUGUAUGUCGGAAACGACUUGACGGCACGUCGCAACGACAGAACCUUGAUUUUACACUGAUAAACACUCAACAUGACUUGCAGUUGCUCGUAUGAGUUUGGAGAUUUACCCAUGGCUGCCAAGCAUGCUGAUGUACAGUCCUCGCUCCGAAUGGAAUACAGCUCUGUUGAGAGGUAUUGCUGAUUUUAACGCAGCACAAGAUGACAACUCAAGAUUGGGAAAGCAGAGAGGGAAUAAAGAAUGCAGGCUCUCUCAAGACAUGGAUGGAUUUUUAAAAGUGGUGGCUACUUAGUUCCAGUACAUGCAGCACCUCUGAGAACAAGGACUUAGCUUUUAAUUAUGAAGGGGACUUGUAGCGAGUCAAAUCAUUGGCACUUCUAGAUCAAUACUAUCUGCACUCACUAAGAGUUUGUUAGGAGUUAAACAGGAAUCUUUCCCAGCCUAAUUUGGAAAUGUUAGAAUUUGACUCUGGGUUCUUUUGUAUGCAAAGGAUGUGGUCUUCUACUCAGCUAAAGUUCCAGGAAGAUCUGCAACUAUCACUAACACUUUUGUAAACUUAAUUAUUGGUUUCUGUAAUGUGUUUUGUAAGACUGCCUUUGAACAUUCUUUAGAAGCUUUUGCUAUUGCAAAAGUUUGCCCUUACAGAUGGCUGCUGACAGCUUAUCAGUCCAGUAUUAUCUGGGCCCAGUUUAAGGUGGCAGGCAUCUUAAAAACCCCUUAUGUGUAGCUGAAGGAGUGGAUUAUAUUAUCAUAGAAUCACAGAAUCAUAGAAUAGUACAAUUGGAAGGGGCCAGAAGCCCUUUGGGUUCAACCCCCUGCUAUGGCAGGACACUAACUUACACCAUUCCAUUCAGAUGAUUGUCCAAAUGCUUUCUGAGUAUCUCUAGUAAGGGAGAACCCACAACUUCCCCAGGUACUAGGUUGCAUUGUCAUACUGCUCUGACAGUGAGGAAGUUUUUCCUGGUGUCUAGU